CAGCCGCCGCGGGAAUACGAAGGGGGCUAGCGUUGCUCGGAAUGACUGGGCGUAAAGGGCGCGUAGGCGGUUUAUACAGUCAGAUGUGAAAUUCCUGGGCUCAACCUGGGGACUGCAUUUGAUACGUAUGGACUUGAGUGGAGAAGAGGGUCGUGGAAUUUCCAGUGUAGAGGUGAAAUUCGUAGAUAUUGGAAAGAACACCGGUGGCGAAGGCGGCGACCUGGUCUUUAACUGACGCUGAGGCGCGAAAGCGUGGGGAGCAAACAGGAUUAGAGACCCCAGUAGUCCCUGUCUCUUAUAC
rnacentral:rRNA from 1 species